AGCAGCCGCGGUAAUUCCAGCUCCAAUAGCGUAUAUUAAAGUUGUUGCAGUUAAAAAGCUCGUAGUUGAAUUUCGGGAUCAAUAUGCUGGUCGUGCCAUUGGUACGUACUAGUAUUAAUUGGUUUCUCCCUUCUGAUGAAUCAUGAUGUCAUUAAUUUGAUGUCAUGUGGAAUCAGGACUGUUACUUUGAAAAAUUAGAGUGUUUAAAGCAGGCUCGCGCUUGAAUACAUUAGCAUGGAAUAAUGAAAUAGGACGUUUGAUUCUAUUUUGUUGGUUUCUAGGAUUGACGUAAUGAUUAAUAGGGAUAGUUGGGGGCAUUAGUAUUCAAUUGUCAGAGGUGAAAUUCUUGGAUUUAUUGAAGACUAACUACUGCGAAAGCAUUGACCAAGGAUGUUUUCAUUAAUCAAGAACGAAAGUUA
rnacentral:rRNA from 1 species